rnacentral:misc_RNA from 1 species
ACUCUAGACACAAGAUCUCUCCAAAUCAUUUUGCCAGAGGGCAUUAACAAUAAUAGAGCCCAGAUUUGCACACUUUGUAUUAGCACCCAGUUAACUAUAAAAUAGUUAGCUUACACCAACUAAACUUGGAUUCUCUUAUCCAUCGAGAUUAGGAAGCCAUAGAGAUUAAAAAAUAAAGAAAUAAUUAAGGGUACAAGCCAGCCUUAAUUGCUAAUAUUAAGAGAGAAGGGAACACUUUCCUGAAGUAUUUUGGUAGUACAAGCCAGCCUUCGUAAAAGGGUUAACAAGUGGUUGACCAUCUAGAAGCGAGGUGGGAUGUGCUGGCUUCGAUUCUUGAAUCAGCGAUCAAUGGGACAUCAAUAGUAUCAAGCUCGUGCUGUCCUAAAUUGCUAAUAUUAAAUUCAAACGCCAGGCUCAGAAAGAGAAAUUUUCAUGAUUCUCUAGUUCAUGAUUAAUUAUUUAUUCACCAUACUAUUAUAAUGAAAGUAAUGUUGCAAUAAUAAUCGUAAAUUGGUGGCCAUGCUUAUUGAGAUUUGAAUUACUGAACUCAAAUUUUAAAAUAAUAAAAUAAGAUUGACAAAAAGAUAAAGUUGAUAACAGCAUCUGCCUGCUCGAUGUAAUCCAAGAAAAUCAAGUAACUCCAAAUACAGGAACAUUUGAAACCUAAAAAUGGUCACAUCGAUGUCUUCAAUUCAAUACCAAAAUGCGAUUGUUACUAAUGGAAGGUUUGCGGGGCUCUAAAUAACAACAUCGUAAGCAUUAAAAGACCAAAUGAUAACUUACACAAGGUAGAGCAAUUAGGGAUAGCAAGUGACAUAAUAUCUACAAAAACCCCUCUACCUACAAAAAUACUAUAUCUUGACCUCAAUUAAUCAUUUUAGUAUUUAAACUCGUCUCACGCUUAUUAAAAAUUCAUCUUAAAUUUUAUAUAUGCAUAUUAUUCGAAUAUUAGCCAAACUCAGUUCAAUUUUAUAUAUUGUAACUGGCCG